rnacentral:rRNA from 1 species
UACGGAGGAGGCAAGCGUUAUCCGGAAUUAUUGGGCGUAAAGCGUCCGCAGGUUGCACUUCAAGUCUGUCGUCAAAGACUGGGGCUUAACCCUGGAAAGGCGGUGGAAACUGAAGCGCUAGAGUGCGGUAGGGGUAGAGGGAAUUCCCGGUGUAGCGGUGAAAUGCGUAGAGAUCGGGAAGAACAUCGGUGGCGAAAGCGGGUAGCUGGGCCGACACUGACGCUGAGGCGCGAAAGCCAGGGGAGCGAACGGG